UACGAAGGGAGCUAGCGUUGUUCGGAAUCACUGGGCGUAAAGCGCACGUAGGCGGAUGUGUCAGUCAGGGGUGAAAUCCCGGAGCUCAACUUCGGAACUGCCUUUGAUACAGCACGUCUUGAGUCCGGAAGAGGUGAGUGGAAUUCCGAGUGUAGAGGUGAAAUUCGUAGAUAUUCGGAGGAACACCAGUGGCGAAGGCGGCUCACUGGUCCGGUACUGACGCUGAGGUGCGAAAGCGUGGGGAGCAAACAGG
rnacentral:rRNA from 1 species